rnacentral:siRNA from 1 species
UAUGUGAUAUGAUGUGAUUUGGU